rnacentral:rRNA from 1 species
UGGGGAAUCUUGGACAAUGGGCGCAAGCCUGAUCCAGCCAUGCCGCGUGGAUGAUGAAGGCCUUAGGGUUGUAAAAUCCUUUCGUGGGGGACGAUAAUGACGGUACCCCAAGAAGAAGCUCCGGCUAACUUCGUGCCAGCAGCCGCGGUAAUACGAAGGGGGCUAGCGUUGUUCGGAUUUACUGGGCGUAAAGCGCGUGUAGGCGGGUCGUUAAGUUGGGGGUGAAAUCCCGAGGCUCAACCUCGGAACUGCCUUCAAAACUGGCGACCUGGACCUAAGUAGAGGCAAGUGGAAUUGCGAGUGUAGAGGUGAAAUUCGUAGAUAUUAGGAAGAACACCAGUGGCGAAGGCGGCCAACUGGCUCGAUACUGACGCUGAGGUGCGAAAGCGUGGGGAGCAAACAGGAUUAGAUACCCCCGUAGUCCCUGAGCGGGCUGGCAAGGCGCAU